GACGGACGCUGGCGGCGUGCCUAAUACAUGCAAGUAGAACGCUGAAGGAGGAGCUUGCUCUUCUGGAUGAGUUGCGAACGGGUGAGUAACGCGUAGGUAACCUGCCUGGUAGCGGGGGAUAACUAUUGGAAACGAUAGCUAAUACCGCAUAACAGUAGAUGUUGCAUGACAUUUGCUUAAAAGGUGCAAUUGCAUCACUACCAGAUGGACCUGCGUUGUAUUAGCUAGUUGGUGGGGUAACGGCUCACCAAGGCGACGAUACAUAGCCGACCUGAGAGGGUGAUCGGCCACACUGGGACUGAGACACGGCCCAGACUCCUACGGGAGGCAGCAGUAGGGAAUCUUCGGCAAUGGACGGAAGUCUGACCGAGCAACGCCGCGUGAGUGAAGAAGGUUUUCGGAUCGUAAAGCUCUGUUGUAAGAGAAGAACGAGUGUGAGAGUGGAAAGUUCACACUGUGACGGUAUCUUACCAGAAAGGGACGGCUAACUACGUG
rnacentral:rRNA from 1 species